GGAUUUGGUCUGAGACUGUGUUAGGGCGGGAAGGGAGAGUGGAGAGACCCGGCUGGAGGAGGGGACAUGGGUUUGAGCCCUGGUCCAGGAAGAUCCCACAUGCCACAGAGCAACUAAGCCUGUGCGCCACAACUACUGAGCCUGCAUUCUAGAGCCCGCAAGCCACAACUACUGAAGCCCGCACACCUGGAGUCCAUGCUCCACAACAAGAGAAGCCGCCGCAAUGAGAAGCCUGCGCGCCAUAAUGAAGAGUAGCCCCCCUCUCCGUAACUAGAGAAAAAGCCCGCACACAGCAACAAAGACCCAACGCAGCCAAAAAUUUUUUUUAAAUUAAAAAAUAAAAAAAGAUAGAAGACUAGAUGACUAUUGAA